CAUAUUUUAGUUUUGGUACUGUUCUGCGUAUUACAUAAUUUUAGAGUUGUUAAACAGGAAAAUAAAGUGGACCAUGUUAAACUAGGCAUUUUUACACCCCCUUUACAUAUAAAGUUUAUUAAAUUCGGAGCUCCGGUUAAUUAGUUAUGAAAUAAAUCAUUUUAACAUGGCAUUUAUGAAAAUUUAAAUAAACAGCAAGUUAAACAUUUUUAACAUAGAUGAAAGUGGCAUAUUAUUAAUCUACACAAUAUUCUAAGCAUUUUACAUAUAUAAAUCAUUUUAAUCCGAUGCACGGUUUGUGAGUUAUUAAAUGCAUGAAAUCUAGGGACUAUUCUGCAAAACAGGUAAAUCCUGGAAAAUGACAAAAUUCGCACGCAGGAAAAAAAAUACAUGCGGGCCGAAUCUGGAGCAGGGGCUGAACAGGGCAGGCGCGGGGCAGCUCACAUCGGGCCUUGGCCCAGGUCGGUUGAGGAAGCUGGCUGGGCCUUGGAGGCCGCUGGCCCAGGCGCUGGAGUGGUAGGCCGGGGUGGACUGGGCCGCGCUGGCGGAGGGGAGCCGCUGGGCCGAAGCAGAGGUGGCCCAGGCGCUGACGCUGGGGCGUCGAGGCUUGGUACACGCGG
rnacentral:rRNA from 1 species